rnacentral:lncRNA from 1 species
GGAGAAGUGUGCACACAACAAACAUAUCUUUCAGAAAGUCGAAAUGAGAUAGAUGAGAGAGGGUAGUAAAUAUAAAGUAGCAAUGGCAGGUUGCAAUGAAGAUACCGGGGCUUAGUUAAGCAAAGCAGUCGUGUUAAGGAAGACUAUUACGGCAUUAUUACUCUUCGACAAGGUGCAUAGCUUUUCCCAUUGAUAAUGGGAAAUGGUUAUGUCUCUGUGUUAGUGCGCAAGCAUUAUGCUCAAGGAGGAGAAAAGUUUAGCAUAAAAAGCCCAUGGAGUUUUAGACUUCAACCGAAUUCUUCCCCAAGUGCAUCAUCUUAGAAUAUAAAACACAGUCCUGGAUGACUGUAACCCCCAAAUUCAAGAAAAGGCAAAUUCAGAAAAUAGAAAUAUAAAGAGUG